ensembl:lncRNA
AUUCGGAGGAAGCUGCCUGGUACUGCAUGUACCUAGUCCAGUUUUGUCUACUCUGAUUGGCAAGACCUCUCCAGGGUGUCAGGCAGAGAAUUCUUCAUAUCACUUGUUGCUGAUCUUUAGAAAAUUGAUCUACAAAUAUCAGAGGCUGAAAUUGGAUUUUCUGUUUGCAAGGUCUAUGUUCAAUCACUGAGCUUUGGGCUCUAUCCUGACUUCCACCCUGAUAAUUCAUAUCUUUGGGUGAAGAAGAAAGCUACUUUAGAAUCUCUUUUUGACUUUCCCCCCCUUGAUAUUGCCAUUUCUUUUCAUUUUUUUUCUCCCUUGUUUCAAGUGUUUUAUUUCAUUUUCUUUGCAGGCUGGGCUUUUUAAUUAGUGGACUAUGAGACUGGAUUUUUUUAUAACCUCCAAGGAAUGACAUAUGGGGAGAACAUGGCAAAGACAGAAGCAGUAGAAUGCUUUUCCCUGUAUGACAUCAGUGCUAUUGUUUAUACCAAAUCCACGCAUAGAAUUAUUUUGCCCAUGAUUGCUGAACUUUACAAUUUAAUAAUAGCAAUUGAGCAGAGAGAAAUUACCCAUGAAGCUUUUGCCAAUUUAGAGACAACUGCAGAAGAAUUAGCAAAAGCUACGGAAGAAUUCAGCUGUAUUGCUAGAAGGCUGGCUGAAGAAUCUGGUGAUGAGGUCCUUGAGAAAGAGAUGGUGCCAGCAACUCAAACUCUCCUGGUAUCAGGAAAAAACAUCCUUCUUGCUGUUCAGAAGCUUCUCAUUCAACCCGAUGCUUGCAAUUCUGUAGAAGAAUUGGCUGUUUCUGCAAAAAGGAUACUUGUGGGAACUAUAAAAUAUUGGGAAGAUCCUCCAAGUGAUUUCCAGACUGGUCACUCUGAAUGCAGUUUGAGAUCCAGUCCAACCUCAUCACUGGGAGACUCGGAGAACCAUGGCUGUCUUAUUUCACAAAUAAUCGAGGAAAUGAGAAUUCAAGUGUCAUACAUGGCUCAGUUUCUAAAAAGGAAAGGGCCAAUCAUGACCAAAGAGGAAGUCAUUGCCACUGCUAUCCGAGUUAUUGCUGGAGGGGAAGCAUUGGUGAAAUUUGCUGGCAGAAUUACAAAGGAUUGCAUAGAUGAAAGACGUGCAGCUGAACUACUGUGUGCCUUGGAGAAAACCAAAACAAUUAACUAUCAACUUAGCAUCAUUACGCGGUAACUAGAUUUUUGAAAUAAUUUCCCCCCCGAAAAAAACAAAUUAUAUCCGUAUUUUUCUU